GUUAAUCUGCGACGUUGGUGACUGCCGAUAACGUUUUUUUGAUCUACAAGUCCACGAAUGCGGGAACCGGUUACCUCACUGGCCGUAGACUGGGCCUCAGACCCAGAAACGAUAAAGUGAACAUUCAGGUGCCCACUUGCAACACUCGUGGUCAAAAACUGAGGUAAAACGGCGUUGUGGAUACCCC
rnacentral:other from 1 species